GUGAAACCAAUUCUUAAAAACCAGUUUUAUUAUUUCUUUCCCUCACAUAUUGUGUCUCUGAGUUAAACAUCAACCUGUUACAAAUUCAUUCUUGCCAUUUCUGUUACCUCAUUGAGAAGGGUCUGUUAAAUCCUGGGGGGUUUGCGCUUAACCGCGGAUAAAUCCUUGAGGACAGUGCGUUCAGCACGUCUCAGAUCAAAUAUUGUUCUUCUUGUUUUCUAUUCUUCUUUUGCAGGUUUGUUUCAUAGACACAAGAAGCAGAGCAACAAUAAUUUUGCUUGCAGGUUCCUUAUAACAACAUCAGGAGCUUUGUAACAUCGGCAGGUUCCUUAUAACAACAUCAGGAGCUUUGUAACAUCGGCAGGUUCCUAAUAAUAACGCAGAUUCGCCGCAACAAGGUAAAAUUCUCCAACAAUCUCAAGGAUUUAUUAUGG
rnacentral:lncRNA from 1 species